UUGAACUGAAUUGUGAGGGCCACCCAUAAACCUUGCGUCAAGCUUGACUCGUAUGAUAAUAUUUUGAGAGUCAUUUACCAAAUUGUUGCGUCAAAUAAGCAGGAAUCGCGCAUUAUGUAAAACCCUGCUUAAGUGUGUCUGCUUUCAAUCAGUUUCAAAGGGAAGCAUCAUGUGAAUAAAUGUCUGUACAGAUAUUAAGGUAAAUCCAUACAAGUAAUAAUGUAAAUUGUUACACUGACUAAUUGUAGUAUCCUGUAUAUUGGUACUUACCACAGCUUCGUGUGGACUCAGGUUUGAAUAGCACAAUGCCAAAACUGACGACCCAAUCAAUAUUCAUUUGUGUUUCACAAAAAUUCUGUAUGAAGAUUUUAGCAACAAGUACAUCAUGUCUCCAAACUACAGUAGGAAAAUUUGUUAUUACAUAUGUCAAAAUUUAGAAACACAGUCUAACACUGGAUAAUCUUAGAUUUUUUGAUAACUGAUUUCCGCUGCAUUUAAUCAAAUAGGAAUAAUUAAUUAUGAUAACAGAUGGUAAAUAUGUUUGAUAACCUGAUCAAAUUUGGAUCACAUUUGCGUAGAUGGGUGCUCAUGAUGUUGAUCACUGGAUUGUCUGUUCCAGACCCGAUUUACAGACCACCACCAUACAGCUGGAUUAUUGCUUAGUAUGGUGUUAAGCAACAGACAAACUAAACCUGAUCAAAUUUUGCUAGGAAUAUUAGACAAAUUGUUAAUUCAUCUUAAAGUAUUUACCAUGGUUAAAGGAAUGAUAUCUGAGUAUGUUUGAUUAAAUUUAAGUCAUCAUGACUCAUAUCCUCUGUGUUCAUCUUGGGACCCUCCAGUUAUCAUUCUGAGUGACCUAAAGAUGUUUUCUCCAUACAGUUUGCUGUUAUCUUUUUGUGGCAAGAUGUUUGAUGUCAUGAGCAAUCAUACUGUGUAUAAUAUUUGUAACUUUUCAUUAAAAGUCUAUGCCCAUU